AUUGCUGGACAAAUCAUGUCACUGUGAGGUCCACCUUUGAGGUCUUCUAUGCUCAAGCUAUCCCCACUAUGGAACAUAGUCUCCUGCUGCCUGGGGAUCAAGGUGUUGAACUCGUAGCUCCUUCUCCAGUACCAUAUCAACCUGCAUGUUUCCAUGCUUCCUGCCAUGAUGAUAACGGACUAAACCUCUGAAACUGUCAGAGGACAACUACAAGCAGUUAGAUACCUCCUUGAAAAAUGGAACCCCCAAAUCAACUCAUGUUUUCCACCUAGACAAGUGUUUAGCCCUUCAAGAGGACCAGUAUUUGUUUUGUAGACUGUGAUGAUUCCAUUGAAUACUCAGUCAUGCAAGGAAGGGGAAAUUGACAGAUGAGUUCAAUAAACAGCAUUGUGCUGAUCUGGCUGAGUCUCCAAACAGAGACAGAAGGAAGCACAAAUGAACCAGGUAGGUGUGUAUCACCAACAAUGGGGGCUAAUCAAUGUAUCCCAAGUGAGAAGAGGACAGAGCAGGCGAAUAAUGAAGUGCGCAUGUUAGUCUGAAUGAGGAUCCGCCAACAAUGGCAUCAGCAGAAACUGGGUAAUUAUGCACAUGUGUGCGCUACAUAAUAAAAUCCAACACAAAGGUACAGAGAGGUACAUAAUAAUACCCGAUCUGAACACACCAGAACAAAUCAGAAUCCUGAAAGAAAAACAGCUAUGGGUAUGAGAGAUACCUCAACAGUUAAAAGGACUUGUGGCUCAUAUGGCAGCAUAUAUAUAUACAUAUAUACAUAUAUAUAUAUACACACACAUAGAUGUAUACAUGUAUAAAUGUAUAUAUAUGUGUGUGUUUUCAGUAUAUUUUUCAUUAAAAUAUUCUAAAACUUAUAAUAAAAUGCAUAUUAGAUAUUAUGAUGCAUUUGACAAACAAGCAACAUUUAUUGAAAGGUAAAGAUUUCCGGUAAUUGUAGUAUUCUUGAAUUAUUGUUCCCAAGUAGUAAAUGUUAAUCUCUCCAUGGACUAAUAAAGAAAUAUGUAUUUUGAGUUAUUUUUCUCACCAGAUUUUAGAUUUGCACUUCCCACACAGUUUCACCUAUCACCCUGUAUCCGCAGAUACAUUGCUGUAACAGAUCAUUAGGAGUCUGAUAGGGUUUUAUCGGUAGUUUUGAAGUCUUAGGGCUGUGUUCUAACUAAAGGAAUUAAGUACCAUAAAACAAGGACUAGAGCUCUGGCUGGCCACUGCCAGUCUGUAACAUCUUAGCUAGGAAGCUGGAAUAUAAAGUCUUAGCUUUGUUGUACAAGCCUUCUUCAUUUUAGGUCGGAGAGCUUCCCUCUCCUUUGAAUUUUCUCUCUCCUCCUACUGAGAUACCUUUUGAACCUUCUUUUAUCAAUUCAGUCAUCUGUGACCUUCUAAUGCGGAGAAUAUCACUGAAGAUAAUUUUGACAAGAGAAAUGAGGUGAUUCAGUUAUUGUCCUCACUUGCCAUAAAGGGCAGAGGUAAGUAGACAGAAUUUGGGGAAAUUUAAAAUAAGUAAUAGCAUUUCCUCUGGUUUAGAAGCAAGACAAGUAGAACAAAAAGAUUCAUGUACGUGGCAAACAGUAAUGCCUUAAAUGAAACUUUGACUGUGUUCAGAGAUUAGUGCCUGACAACGCUUCUGCAAAAUGGUUAACCUGCAUUUAUUUACCUUCUCAAAGAUCUUCAAUAGGUAAAUUCCCUAAGAAGGCUUCCAGGGGAUAAUUACACUGUGUUUAGAUAAAAAUAGAACAAAACUUUAAAUACCACGAAAUGAAAACAGGAGAAAAAAAUCUUGUUUGUUGUUUUUCUUUUGUUUUACUGUGCAUCAUGAUAAACAUUAUAUAAUCUAUUUUAUACAGGGAAAACUGAUAUUUCAAGAGUUAAUUACAAACUUCUAUAAGUGGGACUUAGUUUAAAAACAGGUGUGCUCUGCUAUAAACUCUGGUACUUUUCAUUUUAGAUUGUAAUUAAUACAAAAAUAGAACAGCAAAAUGCAAUCCUAUGUAUUGAUGUGCUAAGGGUUUUCUGUAUUACAUUGGAUGACCUUGCAAAGGUAAAUUUGAAGAUUCAAGCAAUUGGUUACCAACCAAAAACUCCUGUCUCUACCAGUAAAACUAAGUUUUCCCAAAAUUAAUUCAAGAUAUUCCACAGCCAUAAUCUUUAGCAUAGAUGAAAUAAGAAGUGAAACUAAGUGACUCCAAAUGUUACUGAAUAUGAAAUUAGAGGGACUUCUCCAAUUAGUAUGGUUAUUUCCUAUAUCCGAAGAUAAUGCAAAAUGUAACUGAUAAAAAUGUGUAUGUGUGUGUGUGUGUGUGUGUGUGUGUGUGUGUGUCUUUGUGUGGUGAAUGAAUGUAUGUGGCAUAUAUGAAUUGUGUUCUAUUGUGAGGGCUAUUAUGUUGUGUGUUUGCAUUUGUUGUAUGUAUAUGUGGUAUAUAUGUGCAUGAGCAUAUAUAUUUAUAUUUAUAUAUUCAUAUUUUAAAUUUGUAGAAGUAGGGUGGUGUGUUGUAUAUGGUUCAUGAGAGUGUGGGUGCAUGUGUGUAUAGAAUAUGUGUUUGUGAUAUAUGUAUAUGUUUGGUCCAUGUAUGUCCACGAGUAUAUAUGUAUAUGGCAUUUGCACGUUUGUGUAUAUGUGUGGGAUAAUGUGUGCGUGUGUGUGUGCGUGUGCAUGUGUGCGUGUGCAUGUGUGUGUGUGUGUGUGUGUGUUACAUAUAUCUCAUUCAUGUACGUUUCAUUUCAAUGCAAAGGCCAGAACAAAAUUUCAACUGUCUUGCUGUAUUACAACAUCAAACUAGUGUUUUGAGCUAUGAUUACUAUUGAACCACUAGCUCAUCAUUCUAUCUAGGCUGGUAGUUGAGAGAACUUUCAUGAUUCACAUGUCUCCACCUCACCUCUCAUUCUGGGAUUACAGACAUGUGCUGUCAUUUCUGGCCAUUUAGGUACUUUGAGUCCAAAUUUAUGUUCAUUUUCACUACUAUAAUGUAAGUGUUUUGUGUACUGAAUCAUGAUUUUUGCCCCUUAAGGGAGCUGUUUUCAUCUUACUAGUUAAUUUUACAAAUGUGUACAUGCUGGCAUGUGUGUGCACAUGCACAUGCACCAAUGCAUAUAUAAUUUUUGAUACACACAUAUAAUACUAAUGUUGAUAGUUUGUUCUUGAAAAACUUUUUCUAAAACUCUAGUUUUUAAAUAGCAUCCCAAAUCCUAAUUAUUUCCUGACCACUAGCUUUGUAUAUGACAGUCACACAGACAGACAGACGAGGAGGGAGAGAGAGAAGAAAGGAGGGAGGGAGGGAAGGAAGAAGAAAUAAAGGAAGAAACAAAGGAAGUAAGAGAAAAUUAUAAAAAUUUAGAAGCCAUACCUGAGAGUACAAAUAUCAACUCUUCUCCAGAGUGAGGGUAUAAUUUAUAAGCAAAACAAGCUAAAAAUUGCUUAGUCUAAUAAUAUUUAAGUACUUUUUCAUAAAAUUAAA